UUCAACUCUCUCCUUACUACAUGUGUUCAUUAUUUCCAAUUGAUUUAUUUCAAUCAACUAGUUAAUUAUCGCAAUCGCAGUUAUAAUAAUUUGUGAUACAGCAGAGGUGUAAAAAGGAAAUAACAUCGUGUCUGGAAUAAGGUCUGGACGUGAAGAAAAUUACGAUGAAAAAAAUGAAAAAGCUCCUGCAGGUUAUCAAAGAUGCUAUGAACGAUUAUAUAAAAGACGCUGGCGAUAAGAAGAUCUUCCCCCACAAAAAACAAAUUCAAGCGUGACAACUUUUAUGAACUUCUAAAAAAUCGGAUGAUAGGGAGCAUGGAUUAAAAAUACCCACUUUCAAAUUUAAACAACAGUACUUUAUUUUCUUGUAUGACAGAUAAUUAUGAUGUAAUCUAGUCCGUGAUCCAUGCUCAUCACUUCAGAGGUUGUCAGAUAUAUGUAAAAUAAAUAAAUGAUCUCAAAUGAUUGAUCGAA